CUGUAAUAGAUCUCCUCUCAGAGGGACUGUAAUAGAUCUCCUCUCAGAGGGACUGUAAUAGAUCUCCUCUCAGAGGGACUGUAAUAGAUCUCCUCUCAUCGCCUUCUUGAUGGCAACUACCCUUAAUAGAAACUUUGCCAAAGUGAAGGAUAGGAUGCCAUUUCUGUGCCUGUCCACGUUCUGGUUUUUCUUUUCCAUUUCUAAAUGUGUGUAUAUGUGAGUGUGUACUAUACAUGCAUGUGUGUGUAUAUGUGUGUACUAUACAUGCAUGUGUGUGUAUAUGUGUGUACUAUACAUGCAUGUGUGUGUAUAUGUGAGUGUGUACUAUACAUGCAUGUGUGUGUAUAUGUGUGUACUAUACAUGCAUGUGUGUGUAUAUGUGAGUGUGUACUAUACAUACAUGUGUGUGUAUAUGUGAGUGUGUACUAUACAUGCAUGUGUGUGUAUAUGUGAUUGUGUACUAUACAUGCAUGUGUGUGUAUAUGUGUGUACUAUACAUGCAUGUGUGUGUAUAUGUGAGUGUGUACUAUACAUGCAUGUGUGUGUAUAUGUGAGUGUGUACUAUACAUGCAUGUGUGUGUAAAUGUGAGUGUGUACUAUACAUGCAUGUGUGUGUAAAUGUGAGUGUGUACUAUACAUGCAUGUGUGUGUAAAUGUGAGUGUGUACUAUACAUGCAUGUGUGUGUAAAUGUGAGUGUGUACUAUACAUGCAUGUGUGUGAAAGGUAAGCCUCGGCCCUCAUUGUCUCUUGUAGUAGUAUAUUUGAGCCUUUCAUACUGUAAGUGCCUUUCUAAAGAAUAAAAUGAAACAAAACAAAUGUUGAUAACUUUUGUUGCCAGGUUCUUGGACAGGAGAUGACGAGUGAUAACACAUUUAAGGAUGGUGUUUGUGUUGUUCUACAGUACAUACAGUAUCAAUGUUUAUUUACACAUACACUGAAGAGAACAGCUAAAUGUACAGUAUAUGUGUGUGUGUUUGAGUGUAUGCGCGUGCGUGUGUGAAUGUGUGUAUACAAGUGCUUGCAGCCGUGUGUGUGUGUAUGUGUGUGUGAAUACCAUCGGCCUGGGUGUUGAACCGGGCUCUGGAGCGUGUUUAUGGUGCCACAUCAGUAGAGUUGUCAGUCUGAGUGGCAGUCAGACACAGACAUCUCUGGCUCCCAAGUGUGUAUCACAGACUGUGUCAGAGAGUAGAGCAGAGUGGAGUAGAGCAGAGUGGAGUAGAGCAGAGUGCAGUAGAGCGAGGCAUCCUGGACCUAGUUCAGGUCAAUCGCUUCUCUUCAUCUGCCUGUGAUGUCACCUCUCUCAGCCAGAUGGGAAGUGACAUUACCAUAUGGUCAGAAUUCAAACACAUCACCCAUGGCUCUGGAUGUUGAUGAUUCUGUAUUCAAAGGAUUGCACAUAGUAAGUGGCUCAGCAGUGAAACAAACAGAUGGUAUCAUUGUAAUGUGAUAUGGAAUUCAACAGAAAUAAAGGCUAUGCAUGUAUUAUAGGUAAAACAUAAAUGGAAUGUCUACUGUAUAUCUAGAACCAUGCCAUGAUUUGUAUGUGUCACGCCCUGACCUUAGAGAUCCCUUUUAUUCUCUAUUUGGUUAGGUCAGGUUGUGACUAGGGUGGGCAAUCUAUGUUUUCCAUUUCUUUGUUGGGCGGGUAUGGUUCCCAAUCAGAGGCAGCUGUCUAUCAUUGUCUCUGAUUGGGGAUCAUACUUAGGCAGACUUUUUUCCACCUUUAGUUUGUGGGAUCUUGAUUUUGUAUAGCUGCUGUAUAGCCUGCAGAACUUUACGUUCGUUUUUGUAUUUUGCUGUUUUGUCGGUGUUCAUUUUAAUAAAGUAAAAUGUACGCCUACCACGCUGCACCUUGGUCCGAUCAUUACGACAAACGUAACAGUAUGCCACAUAGUUUAAAAUCUGUUGAUUGGUCAAAAUGAUACCCCACCUGUAUGUGGUCAUGUGAGUAGGAAGGAUGGGUCAAAAUGGCCGUGGUGGUGUGAGGAAACAAUUAAUUAAAUGUUUGUUUAAAAGUUUGAAAGUAAAAUAGUUGAGUAAUUGUGCUGUAAAAACCUGUUUCUUUGAAUUAUCUUCCUGGGAAAAUGUGAUCACUGGACUACUCUCAUCACCAAGGACUUCCUUUCAUCACCAAUGACUUCCUUUCAGCACCAAGUACUUCCUAUCACCCCCAAGGACGUCCUUUCACCCCCAAGGACUUCAUAUCAUCACCAAGGACUUUCUAUCAUCACCAAGGACUUCCUGAUUAUGUUGAUUGACUCUCCUGCAUUUCCUGUUGGAUUUUUGUGAAAUUACUCUCAUUUUGGUUUGUGACCUUUGAACUCUGGACAACUGAAUUUACAGGUGGCUCGAUAUAGUAGAUAGAUAGUUGGCCCUCUCCACACUCCCUCACUGUUUCAUUGUGAAGGCAAGCAAACAUGCAUUAUUAGCUUGUGUGUCGUGAUGGUUUAGACUUGCACAAAUACAGUGUGAUAGAAACACAACCUAAUGAUGCCACUUUGAGGGGCGAAGACGCAUAAAGGGAUACUUCAUCCAAAUGAUGACUUCACCUCAUCUUACCUCAUCUUAAGGGUGCAUAGUAGUCCAUGGAACCGUAGAGUCAGCUAACCCCAAGGUUACCUUCACCUUGUAGGGAUUCAGGUUCUAAGUUCCUGGUAGUCCGACACCCUUGCUAUCCAAUAAGCUUUUCUCCGAGUCUUCAUUUGGCCAAUCAGAGCACAGCUUAUUCCACAGAGAUAGAAUUCAGCAAUUUAUAUUCAUUAAGAGAGCUCAUUUUAUACAGUAAGUGCAAUGCCAACACAUAACAAUUAACACUCACUUGUUUGUCACGGCAAUUAUGAUUGGAAACAGCUCAUUUACAUGCUAAUGGUCCCCUGACAUCCAUUGAAAUUGACGCCAGUGAGCUCUCAAAGACAAACCGGUCAAUCGUGUCACCCAUUUAUCUUAGUCAGGUCAACAUGUGGCCAACCACUCUUAGGACAUAGUCUCUGCCCUCUGUAUUUACUAUGAAACAGUCAGACAUCACAUCUCCUGCCACUCACAGCAGUCACCACGAAGACAGUCAAUGGAGAGAGUCAGUUUACAGUGGCUUUACCUCCAGUGUCAUAUCAUUAUAUCAAUUUGCUUAGAAGAGUGAUUUGAUCCGAUCCCCAAUGAUCUCUUUUGUUUGUGUGGAUCCUCCUUCUCUCUGUCUCUCUGUCUCUCCGUUUCUCUCUCUCUGUCUCGUUCAAAUGAAGUUCAACUACACUUAAUUAAUAUCCUACACACACCAAGGUAGAAAGAUGCACAUGCACCCACGGAGACUCAUCUGCAGUUCACCAGGCAGCCAACAGAGGGGGCUAAAGGAUCAGAUUGGCAGCAUACAGCAGGCCUGUCUCAAGGAGAAAUAUGCUCACUGGUGUAGCAGCAUAUUGGGAAAAUGUCUUUAUUCCCUCAUGUUUCAUGUUGUGACAAGCAGAACUUUGGGUUGCCAUGGAGAGAGCUGCUGGAAAAAACAU
rnacentral:lncRNA from 1 species